rnacentral:rRNA from 1 species
UACAGAGGGUGCUAGCGUUGUUCGGAAUCAUUGGGCGUAAAGGGCGUGUAGGCGGUUUGUUAAGUCAUGUGUGAAAUCCCUCGGCUCAACCGGGGAACGACGCAUGAAACUGGCAAGCUAGAGUACCAAAGAGGGGGGUGGAAUUCCCGGUGUAGCGGUGAAAUGCGUAGAUAUCUGGAGGAACACCGGUGGCGAAGGCGCGAUCCUGGACCGGAUUGACGCUGAGGCGCGAAAGCCAGGGGAGCAAACGGG